AGGCAAGACCCUCCACCAGCAACGAUUACAGAUUGCUUCAUUGCGAUGUCUGGAACUGAACCCCCAAUACCUCCAAGGAUGCUCUGUUUCAAACUCACUCCAACAGAGGAGGCGUUUAGUUUCAGGGCGAGGACAUGAUGUGUGAGGCUGUGGCAGCCACCUUGUGACCAUGUGGCAAUGCAGAGAAGCAAAACCAAAAAGUAGAGAGGGUAGCAAAGCAGGAAGAUGGACAGAGCCUGGACCUCUGGGACCGUCACUGCACAGCUGUACUCACCCUGCGCUGCAUAGUUCUGAACUUUAUGUGAAGUAAUGACAACAUCCUUUAUAACAUACCAGGCCAGCCCUGCUCAACCUUUUUCAAUACCAUGCCAUUCAUAGGACA